rnacentral:rRNA from 1 species
CACGUAGGGCGCAAGCGUUGUCCGGAAUUAUUGGGCGUAAAGAGCUCGUAGGUGGUUCGGUAAGUCAGGUGUGAAACCUCCAGGCUCAACCUGGAGACGCCACUUGAUACUGCUGUGACUGGAGUCCGGUAGGGGAGCGUGGAAUUCCUGGUGUAGCGGUGAAAUGCGCAGAUAUCAGGAGGAACACCAGCGGCGAAGGCGGCGCUCUGGGCCGGUACUGACACUGAGGAGCGAAAGCGUGGGUAGCAAACAGG